rnacentral:tRNA from 1 species
GGGGUCGUAGUUAAGCCCGGUUAUAACGCCGGCCUGUCACGUCGGAGAGCGUGGGUUCAAAUCCCAUCGACCCCGCCA